rnacentral:rRNA from 1 species
CGGGACGGGUGAGUAACGCGUGGGUAACCUGCCUCAUACAGGGGGAUAACAGUUAGAAAUGACUGCUAAUACCGCAUAAGACCACAGUGCCGCAUGGCGCAGGGGCCAAAGCCUUGACGGUAUGAGAUGGACCCGCGUCUGAUUAGGUAGUUGGUGGGGUAACGGCCUACCAAGCCGACGAUCAGUAGCCGACCUGAGAGGGUGACCGGCCACAUUGGGACUGAGACACGGCCCAAUCUCCUACGGAAGGCAGCAG